GGAAGGGUGCGUGAGUGGUUUAAACGGCCAGUCUCGAAAACUGGUGCGGAUUAACGUCUGCCGAGAGUUCGAAUCUCUCCCCUUCCG
rnacentral:tRNA from 1 species